AGGAAGCUGCGACUAUUUGACUGACUCUGAUUUCACGCGACUCCUUGUGAGAUUCUCCGAUUGCUUCGCCUGAGUUUCUGGGUUAACUCUCCACGCCGUCACUUUGAUCUUUGCUUUUC
rnacentral:sRNA from 1 species